AAUGCUAUUCAUAUGUUAUCAAUAUUAUACUAAGGCCCUGUUUGGAUGCAUAGUUAAAAAAUUCUAUGGAAUUGUUAUUCUAUGGUUUUUGUCUAAAUGAAAUACGGAAUUCUGUAACUACAAAAAAAUUCCACAGCUUCAUUUUUAAGCUGUUUGGAUACAGAUCAUACAAUUCCACAAUAUUUAUAACAAUUAAAUUUCUAAAAUUUUAAAAUUCAA
rnacentral:lncRNA from 1 species